GUUUGUGGGGGGGUGACGGGUUGGUUUUUGGUUUUUCGGAGAAACGUCUUUUCGGCGAAAUGGGCUGACCAUGCCGGUCACAUGACCCCGGCCACAUUCCACUGAGGCAAUCGAUUUCCUGUGAGUAACUCUUGGCAUCGCGCCGACCAAUCAGCAGCGACGAGCGCCGCGGCGGCCCUGGGGGGCUGUGGUCUGGGGCCCCAACGGCGCAGGCGGCAGAGGGGAAGCAGUCGCCGUCCCAACCGUCACGCAGACAACAGCCCGCAGCCGGGGCGGAAAUUCCCGACAGUCGUACGCAGAGGCGGGAGGGUGGGGGGGCCCAACUGUGCGGUGGACAAAGAAGCCCCCAACAACAGUCGACCAACUGUGGCAGAGAGGGCGAAGACGUGCCAGAGAGAGGUCAAGUCGUCACUGAGGGCCCCACCUGGGCCAGUGGAGGUGUGCCAGACGUGGCGUCGAGAUGACAGAUCUCCUGUUGCCCAGAGAGACAACGUGCAGGCGGUGAAACGACAUCGCAACUCACCAGCUGGAGGGGGCCCAGUUGUGGGGAGGCGGGGGGGUCGUGGGGAAACUGGGGCACGGAGGAGGGAGGUUAGGCGGCCCAUUAUUGAAUUAAUUACACCGGAGCCGAAUGCCGACCAAGGCCACGCCGUUGCAUUCAGGUCAUCGUACACCCAGACUAUGCCAAGGCACGACGUGUAAUCCCGAGCAGCUAUGUGUGUGUGCGUUUAACUUUUGCACGGGGACGUAGCCAACCAUGCUAGUCGGAGGUCUGGGGGAAGGAAAACAAACCAAAUGCAAAAAGCUGUUAAAAAAAUAAAUAAAUCUAGAUUUAAAAGUGGCUUCCUAAUAUGGGAAAAGCGUUCCAGACGGCCGCAGGAUCUGAAAGCGCGCGAUGCAACAGUGGCAUGCUACGUCUCCUCCGAUGUGGUGUCCGGGUAGUGCCUGCCGCCGUGCAUUGCUGCUGUUGUUGUUCGGCGCGACGAUGUCCGACGUUUCGCUCCGCGUGCCGCCGGGAGCAUCUUCAGGAGCGCGCCAAGCGUGAACGUCCAAGAAAUCGGCAACGACCACGGAAACAUCCGCGCGAUGCCACGACGGCGACGCGGGCGGCAGCGGCAGAGAGAGGCUCGUUUACGUCCACAGGGCAACGGAAAAUAGCGCAGGAACCACUUCAUUUAAUUAUUCAUCCCGCCAGUUUGCCCAGGGAAGGCCUCACCGAGUCUCGAGAAGUGUUUGUCAGGAGGGUCAUGCCGUGUUUGUGCAGUAGGGGAGGCGAUGCCGCCGCUACCACUGCUGCGGCGAGUGAUUCCAAUUGAAUGAUUUGCAUGUCACUUUUCAGAAUUGGGGAUCUUUGACUAAUACUGUACUAGUUACACUGUGUGUGUGUGUGGGUUUUGGAGGGAACCGUAGAACCCAGAGGAAACUCACGCAGAACCAAGGGGAGAACAUGCAAACUCCACGCAGAAAGACGCCUGAGUCGGGAAUCGAACUCAGGCACUUCUUGCUGUGGGGCACAAGCAUUAACAACGCAGUGCCACCCUGCCACCCCUACUGCUGGUGUACACGGCCCAAGAUUUCCGUGGAGCAUCCUGACCUUGAGUGACGGAGGCCUAGCCUUUACUGAGAAUCCAGCCGCAGCUCUCGAUUCCAAUUGGAAGCCUCGUUCCUGUGCCCUCUUAUCGGACUCGGGCAAAUCAUAAUUCAGUACAUGGUAUUGGCGCUGCUGUUCUUAUAUCGCAGGGCGAUCAUCGCGAAGGGAGGCGCCGCUCUGCUUUGCAGGCACAGGCUGCCCUAGUUUCACAGUAGGGGACGAUGUCGCUGUCACGUGGUCCCAAAGUGAGUGCUUUUACGGUGUCAUUUGGUCAAAUCUGGAGCGUGACGCCAGCCCGCGAUGGCCUCCUACUCGUUUCGAACGACGAUGCGGUGGAUCUUUUAACGUCCACCGUGAGUGAAGCCUAUGGCGCGCAGUCGGGAGUAUUAAGAUGAAUUAGCCAGCGGCAAUUGCCAGGGCGGCCCGCGGGAUUCGAACCAGCGAACCUCUGCAAGCAAGCGGCAGAUCCGCGAGCGCCGGGCCGCCAAAACAAAGGGGAAUUUCAUUUUUUCCGCCGUGAACUUUGGCGAUCGUGCGCGGGUGUGCGUGGGAGCUGGAAUCAAACUCGGCCCUCUCGCAGGAGAGGGAGGCUGUUGACAUCCCCUCGCAUGGUGACUCAGGCGCCUGGUGCCACGCGGUUUCAUUGCAAUUAUUGCGAUCUCACACAUUCCGCCCACGCCGCCAUCUGGUAAAGGUUUAGAUUAUUUAAUUUAAAGUGCCAUGCGUUUCCGAGGGGAGAUCAUAGAUUCAGGCGUAAAUAGAGGGCACAGUUCUGGAUGCCAGGAAUGACUUGGGCAUGAGCAUUGGCCAAUCCCCAUGCCCAAACCCGUCCCACCCACCUCCCUCCUAUUUUCGUAGCCCGGAACCUGGGCCCCACCAGCCUUCGAAUCCUCUACACAGUUGCACCGCCUGCACACAGCAUAGCUACGCCACUGACCAUGGACUCGCAUCGAGACCUCUCUAAACUCACCCAAGAGAGAGACCCAUGCAUCUGCACAGGUCCGUGGACUCACACGGAGAGCCGUGUACAACUCGAGCAUGGAGAUCCGUAGAUGGUCGUGGAAUGUGGUUGGCGUGGGUCCUGGUGCAUGCAAUGAAAUUCCCCUCCCUGUCCCUCCCCCUUCCCCCCGCCCCCCUCCUCUUGUCCAAUUUCUCCCCCUUUCUCGAUGUAGCUCGGCGCCCGGGCACCCUUCUCCAGGCCGUGGGGCGCCGGAGCAGUUGCACCACCUGCACACACGAUGAUAGUCAGCUUCCCCCCGACUCUAUCCUCGCCGCGCCACCGACAAUUCCAAGCGGACGAAGGAUCCUUGUUUUGGAAUGUUCACCGCGUGUUAGAGAACGGCCCGCGGGAAGUGUAUAUCACGGAGCUGCCUCUGAAACCCUGCUUGGACGUCUGUGAAAAAGAGGCAGUGGCUGAAGCCCGGAGCGGCGCCCGCGACCUCACCGGUGGCAGCCUCCGCGUCCCGACCCCUGGAGCCACCCAGCCGGCCGUAGCCGGCUGCGAUGUCUCGGCCCUGUGCACGCCGUCAUCAGGUAAUGAUGCAUCACACGGACCCGGAGCUCACUGCACACACCGCUACCAGCAGGAUUUCGCUAGAGGAGGAGGGGUGGGGGUGGCGGGGAGAAUUAGUUUUUUUUUCUGAGCUGCAUUCAUUCAUUAAAACUGCACAGUGCGAGUGAGUGACCUUGAGCCUCCUUGGGGCACCGUCCUCCAUCGCCCCGGUCACCUGUUCAGUUAUAAUAAUAAUAAUGGAUCACAUUUAUAAAAAGAGCCUUUGUACGAGGUGUACACGCGGUGCUUUCCAUUGCACUCGGUAAAGAAACGAAACGAUCGCUGGCCCAAGGCGGAGGGAAAACGAAGCGGCAUUGAGGAGCUGCAAUCGAGAGAGCCGACGCGUCCUGACGCCGAGUUUUAAAAGCCACGCUGGCGCUUCCUGCGAAAUCGCGAGCGGCACCAGCCAGGGCACCUGGGCGCUCGCUGCACAGCCGGCGAGCAGCGCGGCAGCAGCAGCGGUGGCCACCGCCACCCGGAGUGAGGAGGAGGAGGAGGGAGAUGGAGGAGCCGUGUCUGGGGAAACGCGCGGCGGCCAUGGGCCAUCGAAGAGCAGAAAGCCUUCGGGAUGAU